rnacentral:rRNA from 1 species
CAUAUCAAUAAGCGGAGGAAAAGAAACCAACAGGGAUUGCCUUAGUAACGGCGAGUGAAGCGGCAACAGCUCAAAUUUGAAAGCUGGCCCUUUUAGGGUCCGCAUUGUAAUUUGUAGAGGAUGAUUCGGCGAGGGCUCCUGCCUAAGUCCCCUGGAACGGGGCGUCAUAGAGGGUGAGAAUCCCGUAUGCGGUAGGUUGCCUUAGCCAUGUGAAUCUCCUUCGACGAGUCGAGUUGUUUGGGAAUGCAGCUCUAAAUGGGAGGUAAAUUUCUUCUAAAGCUAAAUACCGGCCAGAGACCGAUAGCGCACAAGUAGAGUGAUCGAAAGAUGAAAAGCACUUUGGAAAGAGAGUUAAAAAGUACGUGAAAUUGUUGAAAGGGAAGCGCUUGCAACCAGACUUGUCCGCAGUUGCUCAGCCGGUCUCCUGACCGGCGUACUCUUCUGCGGCCAGGCCAGCAUCAGUUCGGGCGGUCGGAUAAAGGCCUCGGGAAUGUGGCUCCUCUCGGGGAGUGUUAUAGCCCGGGGUGCAAUGCGGCCAGCCUGGACUGAGGAACUCGCUUCGGCAAGGAUGCUGGCGUAAUGGUUGUAAGCGGCCCGUCUUGAAACACGGACCAAGGAGUCUAACAUCUAUGCGAGUGUUCGGGUGUCAAACCCGUACGCGUAAUGAAAGUGAACGGAGGUGGGAACCCGCAAGGGUGCACCAUCGGCCGAUCCUGAUGUCUUCGGAUGGAUUUGAGCAAGAGCAUAGCUGUUGGGACCCGAAAGAUGGUGAACUAUGCCUGAAUAGGGUGAAGCCAGAGGAAACUCUGGUGGAGGCUCGCAGCGGUUCUGACGUGCAAAUCGAUCGUCAAAUUUGGGUAUAGGGGCGAAAGACUAAUCGAACCAUCUAGUAGCU